rnacentral:rRNA from 1 species
UGGCGGUACUCUGACCGUGCAAAGGUAGCAUAAUCAUUUGCCUUAUAAUUGAAGGCUAGUAUGAAUGGUUUGACAAGAAUGAAGCUGUCUCUUUAUAAUUUAAUAGAAUUUUAUCUUUAGGUGAAGAAGCCUAUGUAAAAUUAAAAGACAAGAAGACCCUAUCGAGCUUAAAAAAAAUUAAUAGAAUUAAGUUAAUUAAUAUUCAUAAAAAAUUGUCUAUUAAAUAUUUUAGUUGGGGCGACUGAGGAACAUGAAAAGCUUCCUUUAAAAUGAAAUUAACUAAAAUCAAACUAGAAUUGAUCCAAAAUUAUUUUGAUUAAAGAAAUUAGUUACCGUAGGGAUAACAGCAUUAUCUUUUUUAAGAGCUCAUAUCGAAAAAAAGGUUUGUGACCUCGAUGUUGGACCAGAAUAUCCUAAAGGUG